CCUACGGGUGGCAGCAGUCGAGAAUCAUUCACAAUGGGGGAAACCCUGAUGGUGCGACGCCGCGUGGGGGAAUGAAGGUCUUCGGAUUGUAAACCCCUGUCAUGUGGGAGCAAAUUAAAAAGAUAGUACCACAAGAGGAAGAGACGGCUAACGCGGUGCCAGCAGCCGCGGUACUACAGAGGUCUCAAGCGUUGUUCGGAAUCACUGGGCGUAAAGCGUGCGUAGGCUGUUUCGUAAGUCGUGUGUGAAAGGCGCGGGCUCAACCCGCGGACGGCACAUGAUACUGCGAGACUAGAGUAAUGGAGGGGGAACUGGAAUUCUCGGUGUAGCAGUGAAAUGCGUAGAUAUCGAGAGGAACACUCGUGGCGAAGGCGGGUUCCUGGACAUUAACUGACGCUGAGGCACGAAGGCCAGGGGAGCGAAAGGGAUUAGAUACCCCUGUAGUC
rnacentral:rRNA from 1 species